rnacentral:rRNA from 1 species
GAGUUUGAUCCUGGCUCAGAUUGAACGCUGGCGGCAUCCUUACACAUGCAAGUCGAACGGUAACGCGGGGCAACCUGGCGACGAGUGGCGAACGGGGAGUAAUGCAUCGGAACGUGCCCAGUAGUGGGGGAUAGCCCGGCGAAAGCCGGAUUAAUCCGCAUACGACCUACGGGUGAAAGGGGGGGAUCGCAAGACCUCUCGCUAUUGGAGCGGCGAUGUCAGAUUAGGUAGUUGGUGGGGUAAAGGCCUACCAAGCCAACGAUCUGUAGCUGGCUGAGAGGACGACCAGCCACACUGGGACUGAGACACGGCCCAGACUCCUACGGGAGGCACAGUGGGGAAUUUUGGACAAUGGGCGCAAGCCUGAUCCAGCCAUGCCGCGUGCGGGAAGAGGCCUUCGGGUUGUAAACCGCUUUUGUCAGGGAAGAAAUCUUCUGGGCUAAUACCUCGGAGGAUGACGGUACCUGAAGAAUAAGCACCGGCUAACUACGUGCCAGCAGCCGCGGUAA